AUUGCUCUAGUAACGGCGAGUGAAGCAGCAAUAGCUCAAAUUUGAAAUCUGGCGUCUUCGACGUCCGAGUUGUAAUUUGUAGAGGAUGCUUCUGAGUGGCCACCGACCUAAGUUCCUUGGAACAGGACGUCAUAGAGGGUGAGAAUCCCGUAUGCGGUCGGAAAGGCGCUCUAUACGUAGCUCCUUCGACGAGUCGAGUUGUUUGGGAAUGCAGCUCUAAAUGGGAGGUAAAUUUCUUCUAAAGCUAAAUAUUGGCCAGAGACCGAUAGCGCACAAGUAGAGUGAUCGAAAGAUGAAAAGCACUUUGGAAAGAGAGUUAAAAAGCACGUGAAAUUGUUAAAAGGGAAGGGAUUGCAACCAGACUUGCUCGCGGUGUUCCGCCGGUCUUCUGACCGGUCUACUCGCCGCGUUGCAGGCCAGCAUCGUCUGGUGCCGCUGGAUAAGACUUGAGGAAUGUAGCUCCCUCGGGAGUGUUAUAGCCUCUUGUGAUGCAGCGAGCGCCGGGCGAGGUCCGCGCUUCGGCUAGGAUGCUGGCGUAAUGGUCGUAAUCCGCCCGUCUUGAAACACGGACCAAGGAGUCUAACAUCUAUGCGAGUGUUCGGGUGUCAAACCCCUACGCGUAAUGAAAGUGAACGGAGGUGAGAACCGCAAGGUGCAUCAUCGACCGAUCCUGAUGUCUUCGGAUGGAUUUGAGUAAGAGCAUAGCUGUUGGGACCCGAAAGAUGGUGAACUAUGCCUGAAUAGGGUGAAGCCAGAGGAAACUCUGGUGGAGGCUCGCAGCGGUUCUGACGUGCAAAUCGAUCGUCAAAUUUGGGUAUAGGGGCGAAAGACUAAUCGAACCAUCUAGUAGCUGGUUCCUGCCGAAGU
rnacentral:rRNA from 1 species